rnacentral:misc_RNA from 1 species
UGAGUCGAGCGUCCAGUUGUGAUUGCGCAGGCACUCGGGAAGUAGUGUUUCGUUUGAUCUACAUAUUUUUAAAAAGUGCUCGACAAUCGGUAGCUACCGAGAGACCCGUAUCAUUGGAGAUUUCGUGAAUUCCGUAACUCGGAGAUUUUUCCACAAUCACUGCCAAUCACGAACAUCCGAUCGGGGCCAUAUAAUUUGGUACAUGGUCAACGGAGUACACAGGUGUUGAAGUUUUUCCGUCUUGGAUUCGACGGCAGUUCGGCUUCGGCGAUAGGAGCGGCGACAUCAGGAGCAACAUCAGUAGCAAAGCAGGUUCCUCAAAGCGACGAUGGAGAGAGAGAACGAUGACCAUUGUGUGAUGGAAGCAAAUCAGGACAUCAACGAGUCUCUCCAAAGAUCGACUCUUCUUCAUCCUGUUCUAGUGGAGAUGGAUCUGCAACACACGAGACG